rnacentral:rRNA from 1 species
GAUGAACGCUAGCGGCAGGCCUAACACAUGCAAGUCGAGGGGUAGAGGCAGCUUGCUGCUUUGAGACCGGCGCACGGGUGCGUAACGCGUAUGCAAUCUACCUUAUACUAAGGGAUAGCCCGGAGAAAUCCGGAUUAAUACCGCAUGACAUCAUUGAAAGGCAUCUUUCUAUGAUCAAAGAUUUAUCGGACAAGGAUGGGCUCGCGUGACAUUAGCUAGUUGGUAAGGUAACGGCUUACCAAGGCUACGAUGUCUAGGGGCUCUGAGAGGAGAAUCCCCCACACUGGUACUGAGACACGGACCAGACUCCUACGGGAGGCAGCAGUAAGGAAUAUUGGUCAAUGGACGGAAGUCUGGACCAGCCAUGCCGCGUGCAGGAGGACGGCCCUAUGGGUUGUAAACUGCUUUUAUACGGGAACAAACGUCGGUACGUGUACCGGUCUGAGUGUACCGUAAGAAUAAGGAUCG